rnacentral:rRNA from 1 species
ACGACUACAUAUCAGGCAUAUCAAUAAGCGGAGGAAAAGAAACUAACAAGGAUUCCCUUAGUAACGGCGAGUGAAGCGGGAAGAGCUCAAAUUUGAAAUCUUCAAGGUUCUACCUUGACGAAUUGUAGUUUAUAGAAGUGUUUUCUGUUAGUGGAGUGGCAAAAGUUCUUUGGAAUAGGACAUCAUAGAGGGUGAGAAUCCCGUAUUUGGUCAUUCCUCCUAGCGUUGUGAUACACUUUCAACGAGUCGGAUUGCUUGGGAAUGCAGUCCAAAAUGGGUGGUAAAUUUCAUCUAAAGCUAAAUAUUGGCGAGAGACCGAUAGCGAACAAGUACCGUGAGGGAAAGAUGAAAAGAACUUUGAAAAGAGAGUUAAACAGUACGUGAAAUUGUCAAAAGGGAAGCGUUUGACACCAGUGUUGUUUUUCCGAAAAUCAAUUACGCAAUGUUUUGUUUUUGAGGAGUUAUGACUUCAUCGGCUUGCUUCUUUCUUUACGAAACUUUCUUAAUGCACUUUUCGGUUAACAAGUCAACAUCAAUUUCUUUUGUUGUAAAAGGGUAUGAGGAAGGUGGCUUUCUUUUCGGAGAAAGUGUUUAUAGCCUUGUGCCUCUGCAAUCGGAGAGAUUGAGGUCUGCAGCGUAGAUCCUUCGGGGUUAGAUACAGUUUGUGCUAAGUUAUAGCUUUUCAUAGACAACUUGUUGACUAUGUUUAGUCUUGUAGCUUACUCGCUGAUGCUAUUUUACCUACGCUUAGGAUGUUGAAUCUGUGCGAGACUAC